rnacentral:rRNA from 1 species
UAGAGUUUGAUCCUGGCUCAGAGUGAACGCUGGCGGCAGGCCUAACACAUGCAAGUCGAACGGCAGCACAGAGGAGCUUGCUCCUUGGGUGGCGAGUGGCGGACGGGUGAGGAAUGCAUCGGAAUCUGCCUAUUUGUGGGGGAUAACGUAGGGAAACUUACGCUAAUACCGCAUACGUCCUACGGGAGAAAGUGGGAGACCUUCGGGCCUCACGCAGAUAGAUGAGCCGAUGCCGGAUUAGCUAGUUGGCGGGGUAAAGGCCCACCAAGGCGACGAUCCGUAGCUGGUCUGAGAGGAUGAUCAGCCACACUGGAACUGAGACACGGUCCAGACUCCUACGGGAGGCAGCAGUGGGGAAUAUUGGACAAUGGGCGCAAGCCUGAUCCAGCCAUGCCGCGUGUGUGAAGAAGGCCUUCGGGUUGUAAAGCACUUUUGUCCGGAAAGAAAAGCGCUCGAUUAAUACUCGGGUGUUAUGACGGUACCGGAAGAAUAAGCACCGGCUAACUUCGUGCCAGCAGCCGCGGUAAUACGAAGGGUGCAAGCGUUACUCGGAAUUACUGGGCGUAAAGCGUGCGUAGGUGGUUUGUUAAGUCUGAUGUGAAAGCCCUGGGCUCAACCUGGGAACUGCAUUGGAAACUGGCUUACUAGAGUGCGGUAGAGGGGUGUGGAAUUCCCGGUGUAGCAGUGAAAUGCGUAGAUAUCGGGAGGAACAUCUGUGGCGAAGGCGACACCCUGGACCAGCACUGACACUGAGGCACGAAAGCGUGGGGAGCAAACAGGAUUAGAUACCCUGGUAGUCCACGCCCUAACGAUGCGAACUGGAUGUUGGGGGCAACUUGGCCCUCAGUAUCGAAGCUAACGCGUUAAGUUCGCCGCCUGGGAAGUACGGUCGCAAGACUGAAA